AUCCCGAAUUAUAGGCACCAAUAAAAGGUUUGGAUAUGUGGUGAGGAAUAGUAGUUAAGUUAAACCGUAAGGUAUAAAUUUGAUACGAAAUGCCGAUUAGUCAAUUUUCGGCAAUUUCUUUUGUCCGUGUAAAAUCAUAAAUCGAAGCUAAGGGGUAAUAAUUUUAUAAAUUACAAAUUAUGGCCUAGAAUAAUUGUUGAUAAUGUGAGGAAUUGUUUUGGGCCAUUUGAAGGUAAUUAAAAAAAUUUCUAUCGCCGAUAAUUUCAGUUUUUAACGAAAACGAUCGGCGAAACUUUUGAAGAUAUAGACAGGAAUAAUUUUGCCUUAAACUAGAAUUUAAAUGCUAAAUGAUGAUAUAAAGAGUUCCUAAAUGUGAUAUCAUAUGAUAGGGCAAUAAAAUGUUACAAGAUAAUUAAUUUAUUUAAAAACUAACUAAAUAAUUAAAUAAUGAUUAGAAUUCUCUAGAGAAUUCUUUUGUCUAUCAUCAACUCCAAACCCCCCCUCAUUUCAGCCACAAGCACGUCCUCCCCCUCUCCAUGGAAGACCAAAAGCUUAAGCUUUUUAAUUUCCAAAUAUUUGUCAUUUAAUCGGUAAAUCGAUCGGGUAAUCUUGUAUCCGCCAGCAAAUCGAGCGAAGGAGCAUAUAGUGCGUUUUGAUCACAAAGGAGUGGAUUUAGAGAGUAGAGAAGUAUCAAGGUGAAAUAGGCUUAUGUUCAUAAGCCUGCGAGGUUAGAGUCGACAUUAUGUCAGUGGUGUUGCGCAGCUUUGCAUCUUUGGCGAGUCACUGGUGGUCAACUUGGUUUAGUAGUCGUGGCAUGUUAUGUAAUAGUUUAAUCUUUAACCUUCCGCUGGAUAAAUGUUAAGUUUUUAAAUGUAAUAGAUUUUAAUUAUGCUUUUAAGCUAAAAAGAAAAAGGAAAAAUUUCAGCACGGGUUUUCGAUACUGAAACGUGACAUCACUUAUUCGGUGGGUUACCUACCGGGUAAGGGGUGUUACAAGUUUUGGUAUCAGAGCCUAGGUUUAGGCGGUUCUGGAAAGAAGUGAUUCAGUAAAGUGUGUAGAAACAUGCCACAUAGGUUUAAUUGUCUGUUAGUACCAGUGACUCGAUGCAGCUGCUUAUGUCUAAAGUGGAAAGAAGUUAACAAGGUACGGGACAUAGUUUCCCGUGUGACCGAGAAAGAUGUUAUAUGGGACUGGCCACCCCAUAUAGCUCUAAUCUCGGUAGCGUCGGUAUGUGUAAAAGAUUUAAAAAAAAAAAUUCAGGGAGGAUGGGUCUGAAAAUGUUGAUGAAAAGUAUGUCCUAAUGAAAGAUACUAAUAAAUAUAUGCAGAUUAUGAAAGAGUAUAAGUAAAAGAGAAGAAAAUGAGUUAAAGGAAUGAUAUGGAAAGAAAGUAAGUUAUAGACUAAGUGACCAUCAUGAUAUAAAAGUGUAACAUGAAAAUUCACAAAGGUAUGUGGAUUGUCUGAUAUAAGAUGGAUUAAGAGUCAUAAAGUAAUAUCCUAUAAUGAUAAACAAAAGUAUAGAAAUAUGUGAAAGGAAAUGUGUUUGGCAAAAUGAUAAAUAUUGAUAUGAAAACAUAUGAAACUAUAAGGCAUUAUAUGAAUAAAACCAUAAAUGUGCGAAUGAGAAAAUGCGACGAAUAAGAAAUAAAUGAUAUGAUCUGAACAUGUGUGCCCCUAUAUGGAUUACAUGUGUACUUCGAAUCGGGCAAUAUGAGAUAUGACGUGAUGUGAUGGAAAUAUGAACUGAAUAAUCGUGCAAGACAAUAAAUUAUAUGAUUGGAAAUGUGAACUCCGUGAGAAUUAUGUGUGCGCUCGAAUACGAGCUAUAUAAAUGUUAGAACCGAAUGAUGAUUCAGAAAUGAAAUGGAAAAUGGGAAUGUAUGCUCUAAGCGAGCUGUAUAGUAUAUGAUAAGAUAUGUCUAAAAAUAUGAGUUUGAAAUUGAGCUAUAUGAUAUAAAAUGGUAUUCUGGUUGAAAGUGUUGUCUGUGAUCUGUAAAUGUGUUAGUUAUGGAUAAGAAUGAGUUUUGAAAAUAAAUAUGGUUGUUGAUGAAUACUGACUUGAUAUUUGAAUUAUGUUGUGAUUUGGUGGUUUGAUUUGAUAAUCUGUGAUUAACAUUGUAUCUUGUUGGUUUUGGGGAAGCACUGGUUAUAGAGAAAACGCUGCCCAAUUUUUGCUAGAAAUUGAUCAGAUAAAUUAAUACGAAGUUGUGGUAAAUAAACUGAUAAGUGAUAAUACAUGAAGAGAAUGAUGUUACAUGAUGACUUAAGAAAGGAAAAAGGGAAAAGAUAAGAAGUGUUGUGAAUGAUAAUAAAGGAAAACGUAAUGAAAUGAUGAUAUGUGGAAAGUGAAAUGCACCCUUCGUCGGCUAUAAGUGCCCGAAUAGGGACUAUGCAAUUGGGACUAUACAAUAUAUGAUGAGUAUGUGAAUUAUACAUAUGCGUGAUGAAUAUGAUAUGUGCGCCUCAUGUGGACAAAGAAAAGAUGCAAAUAACAUGGAAAUUACUAUGUAAAGAAAUGAUAAUGUGACAAAUGUGCUUGAAAUAUAUUAGAGAUAAUGAUAAUAUUAUUAUGUGAUCGCAAAAUGUGGCUAUGUGUUAAGAUGUGAUUAUGUGAUUUUGUAUGUCAUUCUGUGUUUGGUUAUGGAAGUGAGGAUACGCUAUGUAGAUGAGGAUAUAGGAUGUCGUGGAAUGGCAUACGUAUAUGCGACGCUAAUAGGAAUGAUGUAAACCCGAGGGAAUUUCGAGGACGAAAUUCCUUUUAGGGGGGAUGAGUUGUAACAUCCCGAAUUAUAGGCACCAAUAAAAGGUUUGGAUAUGUGGUGAGGAAUAGUAGUUAAGUUAAACCGUAAGGUAUAAAUUUGAUACGAAAUGCCGAUUAGUCAAUUUUCGGCAAUUUCUUUUGUCCGUGUAAAAUCAUAAAUCGAAGCUAAGGGGUAAUAAUUUUAUAAAUUACAAAUUAUGGCCUAGAAUAAUUGUUGAUAAUGUGAGGAAUUGUUUUGGGCCAUUUGAAGGUAAUUAAAAAAAUUUCUAUCGCCGAUAAUUUCAGUUUUUAACGAAAACGAUCGGCGAAACUUUUGAAGAUAUAGACAGGAAUAAUUUUGCCUUAAACUAGAAUUUAAAUGCUAAAUGAUGAUAUAAAGAGUUCCUAAAUGUGAUAUCAUAUGAUAGGGCAAUAAAAUGUUACAAGAUAAUUAAUUUAUUUAAAAACUAACUAAAUAAUUAAAUAAUGAUUAGAAUUCUCUAGAGAAUUCUUUUGUCUAUCAUCAACUCCAAACCCCCCCUCAUUUCAGCCACAAGCACGUCCUCCCCCUCUCCAUGGAAGACCAAAAGCUUAAGCUUUUUAAUUUCCAAAUAUUUGUCAUUUAAUCGGUAAAUCGAUCGGGUAAUCUUGUAUCCGCCAGCAAAUCGAGCGAAGGAGCAUAUAGUGCGUUUUGAUCACAAAGGAGUGGAUUUAGAGAGUAGAGAAGUAUCAAGGUGAAAUAGGCUUAUGUUCAUAAGCCUGCGAGGUUAGAGUCGACAUUAUGUCAGUGGUGUUGCGCAGCUUUGCAUCUUUGGCGAGUCACUGGUGGUCAACUUGGUUUAGUAGUCGUGGCAUGUUAUGUAAUAGUUUAAUCUUUAACCUUCCGCUGGAUAAAUGUUAAGUUUUUAAAUGUAAUAGAUUUUAAUUAUGCUUUUAAGCUAAAAAGAAAAAGGAAAAAUUUCAGCA